rnacentral:rRNA from 2 species
GACGAACCGUCCAAACGUUAUUCGGAAUUACUGGGCUUAAAGGGUGCGUAGGCGGCGAGGAAAGUAGGGUGUGAAAUCCCUCGGCUUAACCGAGGAACUGCGCUCUAAACUACCUUGCUCGAGGGAGACAGAGGUGAGCGGAACUUAGGGUGGAGCGGUGAAAUGUGUUGAUAUCCUAAGGAACACCGGUGGCGAAGGCGGCUCACUGGGUCUCUUCUGACGCUGAGGCACGAAAGCUAGGGUAGCGAACGGG